UAGGGAAUAUUGGACAAUGGGGGCAACCCUGAUCCAGCCAUGCCGCGUGAGUGAAGAAGGCCCUCGGGUUGUAAAGCUCUUUUGUCCGGAAAGAAAAGCUUCGGGUUAAUACCCCGGGGUUCUGACGGUACCGGAAGAAUAAGCACCGGCUAACUUCGUGCCAGCAGCCGCGGUAAUACGAAGGGUGCAAGCGUUACUCGGAAUUACUGGGCGUAAAGCGUGCGUAGGUGGUUGUUUAAGUCUGAUGUGAAAGCCCUGGGCUCAUCCUGGGAAUGGCAUUGGAAACUGGGCAGCUAGAGUGCGGUAGAGGGUAGUGGAAUUCCCGGUGUAGCAGUGAAAUGCGUAGAGAUCGGGAGGAACAUCUGUGGCGAAGGCGACUGCCUGGACCAGCACUGACACUGAGGCACGAAAGCGUGGGGAGCAAACA
rnacentral:rRNA from 1 species